rnacentral:rRNA from 1 species
AAGGUACUCAAGGGCGCUAAAUGGAUGCCUAGACGUAUAUUACCGAUGAAGGACGUGGAAGACUGCGAUAAGCUUCGGGAAGCUGUCAACAAGCUUUGAUCCGGAGAUCUCCGAAUGGGGAAACCCAGCAUGAGUCAUGUCAUGUUGCCACUUGCUGAACACAUAGGCAAGCGAGCGGGAACCAUCUGAACUGAAACAUCUUAGUAGGAUGAGGAAGAGAAAGUAAAUAACGAUUGCGAAAGUAGUGGCGAGCGAAAUCGCAACAGCCCAAACCUUUUAAGUUUUUGCCUAUUAAUUUAGGCAAAUAAGUUGAUAGACGAAUACUUAUAAGGGGUUGUGAUAUUACAUAUGACCAAGUCAGAGAAUUUGAUUCAUUCAAAUAAUCUGAUUUGCGAUAACUGGCUAUCAACAGUUAGUAAGGUAAGAAAUCGGCGUGGUUAGUAGAAUAGUUUGAAUGACUAGCCAAAGAACGUGAAAGCCGUGUAUAUGAAAACGACGCUGACCUUAUGUAUGUUUUAUCGAGUAGGACGGGGCACGAGAAACCCUGUUUGAAUCUGGCUGGACCACCAGCCAAGGCUAAAUAUAAUAUACGAUCGAUAGUGAACUAGUACAGUGAUGGAAAGGUGAAAAGAACCCCGGGAGGGGAGUGAAAUAGAUCCUGAAAUUUAGUGCCUACAAGGAGUCGGAGCCGGC